rnacentral:rRNA from 1 species
UACGGGGGGGGCAAGCGUUGUUCGGAAUUACUGGGCGUAAAGAGCUCGUAGGCGGCUCGGUAAGUCGGAUGUGAAACCUCCAGGCUCAACCUGGAGACGCCAUCUGAUACUGCCGUGGCUUGAGUCCGGUAGAGGAGCAGGGAAUUCCUGGUGUAGCGGUGAAAUGCGCAGAUAUCAGGAGGAACACCAGCGGCGAAGGCGCUGCUCUGGGCCGGUACUGACGCUGAGGAGCGAAAGCGUGGGGAGCGAACAGG